rnacentral:snoRNA from 1 species
CCGUAUGAUGAAAAACAUGAUCGCUGUGUUCUUUCUUAAUCACAUUGAAGAUACAAUCACCUUGGAGAACUGAACC